rnacentral:lncRNA from 1 species
GUCAUUUGUAGGGACAUGGAUGAAAGUGGAAAUCAUCAUUCUCAGUAAACUAUCGCAAGAACAAAAAACCAAACACCGCAUAUUCUCACUCAUAGGUGGGAAUUGAACAAUGAGAUCACAUGGACACAGGAAGGGGAAUAUCACACUCUGCGGACUGUGGUGGGGUUGGGGGAACGGGGAGGGAUAGCAUUGGGAGAUAUACCUAAUGCUAGAUGAUGAGUUAGUGGGUGCAGCGCACCAGCAUGGCACAUGUAUACAUAUGUAACUAACCUGCACAUUGUGCAUGUGUACCCUAAAACUUAAAGUAUAAUAAUAAUAAAAAAAAGACUUUAUAGCUGCCUCCAAAGACACAUAGACUCUAUUUCCAGCCUCCUGAAAAUUCUGUCCCUGCAUCAGCCUAUUCAGGUUCUGCCCAGUCUCUCUCCCACUUCUUUUUCUCCAGCCUCUCAUUCUCUCUUCUCUGAUUUAUUUAAGUCGUCUUUUAUCUUUCUACCUUCCAGACUCUUUCCACAUUAGCAAUCCCUUCAAAUUUCCCCCACCCAGUGCAUGUAAAUUCCGAAAGUCAUCUAGGAGGGUGAAGUGCUUCUUUAGUGGGGAAGUCUGGGAGAGGGUGGGGAUGAGGAAGGGGGCACUGGCAGGUGAGUAUGUGAGGAGCCAUGCACUAAUAUGCUUUGCAAACUCCAUGUUACUCACGUUCAUGCCUGCCUGUAAGUUAUUGCUUGUGCUAGGACCCGGAUUAAAUGUUUUCCCAUUAUGUUACUAAUUGAUUGAACCUAAUGAUCUUAAAAAAAAAAAAAGCAACAAAAACAUCUUGGCCAUUUCGAGCCCUUUCUCUGAAAUUUUGCUGAAACAUGUAGUGGUCAGUUGGAUGCUUUCAUAUUGUUUAUUGCUAUUUGUGUUAGAGAUCUUGUAUCCUUCACUAAACUUAAAUGUUUUCAUAGCAGGACCCAGUGCUAGUAAGAUCUCUGUGAUCUCUUCUGAUUCUAGCAUGUCAUUCAAUGAAGAUUUAUUGAUUGAUUAUGUCUUGCCAAAGGUCCUAUGUGUUUAUUUCUAAAGCAUAAACAAAUUGAUAAUAGGAUAGGUGACACAGAAGCAUCUUCAGGAGUAAGAGACCAGACUGAUAUCAACAUCUUCCUCAACAAAAUAUAUUAAUGGAUGGUUGAGAGUCGUUGUAACUGAAGUCCAUGUGGUCCUGAGAGUACAGCAGAAGAUUGGUCUCCAGUCUCUCUCUGUCCCUAUAGAUUAGUUACUGUGAUUAUAUCUGAUUGUAUUUAAUUAGUUUAAUAAAAUAGGCAGGAAACGUGGGCUUUGAAAAAUACAUAGAAAUUCAACAGGCAAAAAGAGGGAGAGUGUACUUCACAAACUAAGUUGUCUAGCAUAGCUGGAGGGCAAGGUAUGGACUGGAAGUAGGAAAGCAGGGGCCAGUCAGCAUGGAAAGGUAGCAAGGCCAGGAGGACUAGAACCCUGACUUUCUCUCCAGCCCUCCCCACUUGACACCUGGGAAGGGGCAGACCUGGAAGAACCACCUGAGAAGCCCCUGGAGCGGCACUUGUGGAUCUUUGACAGGAGUAUGUGGAAAUUCAUUCUGCAUGCACUCCUGUACACACCACAAAUAUGGCAGAAACAAUGCUGAUGAUGGAACAGCAACAACCUUGUGGUGCUGGUGACAGAGGGACACAUUGAAGGAUUGUGCCGACGUGCUGUGAAUGACUUGGAGCAUCACUUUUCAAAAGUAGCAAGGUGCUCCAUGAAGAGCACUGGCCUAAGAGCCCAGAGUUCAGAAUUUCAAGUCUGGUUCAUCCACACAUCCACACAUGUAGUUUAUCCUUGAUUGGAGCCCAGGACCUAGAAGGGUGGACACAGAUGCUAGAGAGUACAGUUCUGUUUCCACGUCUAUGGACCUACACAGCAAGAAAUGGAACCUUGAUUUUUCUGCCUAUAAGACAGAAAUGAUACCAAUUAUUGUCUCUUUCCCCACCGUUCUGUUGCAGUUGAAAUUGCAUGGGAAAUCCAUAGUGUGUCUUUGAGCAAACAGCUCUGUAUAUGUAAAUCAGAGAUUAUUCCGGGCUUUCUUCUGGUACUUCUAAAAAAAAUCACUAUGACUGUGCAUGUCAGAAAAUUAACGGACCAUUCACACCUAAACAAAAAACAAUCCUGGUUAACUAUUGUUAUUAAUGCAUCUCUUUGGCAACAGAACACAUGGCAAAUAUCUCGUAUGAUGAAACAGUCCAACCCAGAGAUGACACAGUGAGGCAGUUUCUUAAGAGAUGCUGGCAUUGCUCUGUACCCUCCACAGCCAGCCUGGCACAGAUGCAGGCAGCUCCUCCUUGCCACUCAUGCCUGGGUUAUCCACUCCAUUAUUCCUCCAAAGAAGCUUUGAGUCCCAUAGUGAUUUCCUCCUACCAAUUCUGCAUUGAAAAGUCACACAUCAUUAUAAAAGUUAAAUGUUUUUACCUCUCCCCCCAAAGUGAAAGGAAGACAGACACAAAAGCAAGGGGAUGAAGCUUCCCAAGGCCAGUGCAAUUUGGUCUCUCCUUUGCCUUGGAUUCUCCACACCAAAGUUCUGACUAUGUCGGUAGAGUUCCACCUGAUUCUAUUAGUGGAGGGAGCAUCCUACUGUAUGCCUUGUAUACCUAGCAGAUUGUUUCUCAGUAAAAUGGAGCUAAUCUCCCUGUAGGGAAUUGUAAGCUUCUACAACGACAGAAAACAGCUCGACAGAAAACAGCUAUAUCAUUGUGCAAGGCAUCAGCUGACUCUCUCCUGUAUGCCUGCUUUGAUCCUGAAAUAUGGAAGCCUAGCCAUAAAAGGCGCUAGACAGGGGAGUUCCCCAAGGCAGUGUUGUUGGUUUGGAGUUAGAGAUCCUGGAGGAUCAGGUUAAAGUAGCCCUCGUCCUUUUUUGUGCAGAGCCAAGUGAUCAUCCUCAUUGUCUACUUUUCCAGAUGCAGGUACCUGAACAUGCCUGAGCAUCCUUAUUUGUCUUUCCCAGAAUGAUCCACUUGUAUGGGUUCUUCUUCAGAUGCAACAUAUCAUUUUAUACCCAUUAUACAGGUACUCACACAAAUACAAAGGGUAAUUUUUAGAGUAAAAACCUAGCACUGGAUCAAUAGGCUCCUGUGAUACACGCGAGUUCCCCUACAGUCUUAGCUUAGCUCUGAGGAGGGGACCCCCAAAAGCUGAGGCCAAAAGGGUUCAUAAGCAGAGGGUGUCUAGUUCUAAAAUUCCCACACUCUUCCAACCUCAGUUCAAAUCUGUGGUCACAGUCACUCCACAUAGUUGUCAUUCUUAAGC